CCACACAGGGGUAGGAGCACCUGAUUUGCCGGCUGGGCAUUGGCCUCUCUGUGGCUGAAGAUACAAUGCAUUGGUAGAAAAUGUGAGGUUCGGUGAGGAAACUGAUCAGUGAAUCUGCAUUUCCUGCCCGGGCAGUAGUGGAACUUGGAUUAGAGACCUGGGUCUUUGGGCUUUUUUACCCAAGGGCCUCCACCUGGUGACACCGGGCUUGAAACUUUCACCUGCCCACCUGGCCACACAGACCACGCACCUGUUGUGCAAGAGCCCAAGAGGAAAACGCCCUGGAGCCUCACAGCAAUAUGUGAAAGGAGCAGAAUAUAUUCUGCAGAAUAUAUUCCAGGAGCAGAAGAAAACAGCAAGCUAGGAAAAGCAAGAGGCAGCGCUGGGGACUCACCUGCCCAUAUGGUGAUUCCUAUCUCUUCCCCAGACCUAAGAAGUCUGUCGUCGCUCCCUUCCCAUGUGCCACUUCUUGGUUUUAUUACUCCUUGAAGUUUAGUAUUAAAAUUUAAUCGCCUCUAGAAAAGACACAAUUAUGAAGAAAAUCAAAAGGAUCAGUGGUGCCAGGAGGUAGACCUGGUCGACCAGGUCGACCACCUGGUCUCCCUAACAGGAGGUAGUGGGGAGGAAGGCAUGAGUCGGCAGAGCACAGGGGGUUUCUAGGGCAGUGAGGUGAUUCCACAUAUUACCAUAACAGGGGAUACAGGUCAUUACACAUUUGGCCAAACCCACGGAAUGUCCAGCACCAGGAGUGACCCUAAGGUGAACCGUGGACUCCAGGUGAUGAUGAUGGGCCAGUGCAGGAUCCUUGAUCAUAUCAGAUGUCCCCCUCUGGUGGGGAGUUGAUAAUGGGGGAAGUUGUGCCUGUGCGGGGGCCGGGAGGGGCUGGGAAUUCUCUUUUCCUUCCUCUCAAUUUUGCUGUGAACCCAAACCUGCUCUAAAAAAAAAUCAAGCCUAUUAAUAAAACACAUAACAUGGUAAUACUAUAAACAUAUUUAAUUGGCUAACAAGGAUCUAAUGUAAUACUGGGCAAUUCCUAUCUCUAUGUGAAUUCAUCAUGGCUGCCUAGAAUGGAUCGGAGUUUUGGAGAAGCGAGGAGACAAUUU
rnacentral:lncRNA from 1 species